rnacentral:rRNA from 1 species
UGGGGAAUAUUGGACAAUGGGCGCAAGCCUGAUCCAGCCAUGCCGCGUGAGUGAUGAAGGCCCUAGGGUUGUAAAGCUCUUUCACCGGUGAAGAUAAUGACGGUAACCGGAGAAGAAGCCCCGGCUAACUUCGUGCCAGCAGCCGCGGUAAUACGAAGGGGGCUAGCGUUGUUCGGAUUUACUGGGCGUAAAGCGCACGUAGGCGGACUUUUAAGUCAGGGGUGAAAUCCCGGGGCUCAACCCCGGAACUGCCUUUGAUACUGGAAGUCUUGAGUAUGGUAGAGGUUAGUGGAAUUCCGAGUGUAGAGGUGAAAUUCGUAGAUAUUCGGGGGAACACCAGUGGCGAAGGCGGCUCACUGGACCAUUACUGACGCUGAGGUGCGAAAGCGUGGGGAGCAAACAGG